rnacentral:rRNA from 1 species
UUCGGCGUCGAGCGGCGGACGGGUGAGUAAUGCUUGGGAAUUUGCCCAGUCGAGGGGGAUAACCAUUGGAAACGAUGGCUAAUACCGCAUACGCCCUACGGGGGAAAGCAGGGGACCUUCGGGCCUUGCGCGAUUGGAUAAGCCCAAGUGAGAUUAGCUAGUUGGUGAGGUAAUGGCUCACCAAGGCGACGAUCUCUAGCUGGUCUGAGAGGAUGAUCAGCCACACUGGAACUGAGACACGGUCCAGACUCCUACGGGAGGCAGCAGUGGGGAAUAUUGCACAAUGGGCGAAAGCCUGAUGCAGCCAUGCCGCGUGUAUGAAGAAGGCCUUCGGGUUGUAAAGUACUUUCAGCAGUGAGGAAGGUGGUAAGACUAAUACUCU